rnacentral:rRNA from 1 species
CCUACGGGAGGCAGCAGUAAGGAAUAUUGGUCAAUGGAGGCAACUCUGAACCAGCCACGCCGCGUGAAGGAUGACGGCCCUAUGGGUUGUAAACUUCUUUUGUAUGGGAAUAAACCUUUCUACGUGUAGGAAGCUGAAGGUACCAUACGAAUAAGCAUCGGCUAACUCCGUGCCAGCAGCCGCGGUAAU